AACGUAGGAGACAAACGUUAUCCGGAGUUACUGGGCGUAAAGGGCGUGUAGGUGGUUUCGUAAGUCCGGCGUGAAAUUUUUCGGCUUAACCGGGAAAGGUCGUCGGAUACUGCGGAACUAGAGGACGGUAGAGGCGUGUGGAAUUCCGGGUGUAGUGGUGAAAUGCGUAGAGAUCCGGAGGAACACCAGUGGCGAAGGCGACACGCUGGGCCGUACCUGACACUGAUGCGCGACAGCAUGGGGGAGCAA
rnacentral:rRNA from 1 species